CAGAGCUGAGACACUCAGGACUGAACAGACUGCACAGUUUCUGUGACUGAGCCUCCAAAACAUCUUCUUUGAAACCACACAUGAUAGAAGGGCUUUAUAUUUGCAGCAGCACUACUAAAGUCGGCAGGAAUGUUGCUGCAGGAAAACAUCCCUGCAGAUCACCAUCAUUGUCAGACUGACUGUGCCUCCUCUGUGCAGUGUCAAGAUCCUCCCUAAAUGAGUGUCUAUCCUGCUUCUGUGCUGCUUGCCACACAUCAAACACUGGCCGGAUGACAGGGAGGAUCCACUCUGAAGUCACUGGACAUGAUGAGGAUCAUAUGGGACUUUAUAGUUUCACAGAAAUGUUGUGCUCUUUGAUUACAGGUUUUAAAUGGACAUAAUGACUGCCUCUCUCUGAUCUGACAGGCUAAAGGAUUGUUUUCAUUGUUAGUGCUCUGUACAGUGUAU